rnacentral:rRNA from 1 species
GAUGAACGCUAGCGGCAGGCCUAAUACAUGCAAGUCGGACGGGAUUGUGGAGCUUGCUUCACAUGAGAGUGGCGCACGGGUGCGUAACACGUAUGUAACCUACCCUUGUCAGGGGGAUAGCCUCUCGAAAGAGAGAUUAAGACCGCAUAACAUUGUUUUGUGGCAUCACAGAACAAUCAAAUAUUUAUAGGACAAGGAUGGGCAUGCGGAACAUUAGCUAGUUGGAAAGGUAACGGCUUACCAAGGCUACGAUGUUUAGGGGAUCUGAGAGGAUGGCCCCCCACACUGGUACUGAGACACGGACCAGACUCCUACGGGAGGCAGCAGUAAGGAAUAUCGGUCAAUGGGCGGAAGCCUGAACCAGCCAAGUAGCGUGCAGGAUGACGGCCCUAUGGGUUGUAAACUGCUUUUAUACAGGAAUAAAGUUAGCCACGUGUGGUUAUUUGUAGGUACUGUAUGAAUAAGGACCGGCUAAUUCCGUGCCAGCAGCCGCCGUAA